UUUCUUCUUGUUUAAAUAAUGCUGCAUAGUUCAUUGUGCAUUAUGUAUAAACUUAUUUCAUACAAGUUGUAAGUGAUAAUAGCCGUUUCUUUUUUACUUUUUGGGAUCUGCUUUGCUGGCAAGUCUGUGAAUUGUGCAUAUAAGACCUGUGGUUUUAUCUGCUGAUAACAUUAAUUACAGAAUAUAAACAUUAAUAUAUAUAUUUGUUAAUAUCUGUCAUAACCCAAGACAUCACUGAUUUGUUAGAUUCUGUUUAUUUGGAAUUUGCAUAACUAGAGUCUCAGCAAAUGUUUUGCAGAAUUGCUAAAUUCUAUAAAUAUUGUUUUGUAGUAGAAAUUACUAAAUGAAAGUAUGAGACAAAGAAGAAUAACAUUUAUUGGAGGUAUUUUUUUCCUAAUAACUUUUGUUCAUAAGCGCCGCUGAUUUUAUAUUACGUAAUAAGCAUGGAGUAUUUUGAAAUUCUUAUUAAUAGUCAGAUUUAGGGAAUAUUUAGUCAAUUUUUUCUUAUAAUGCAUUAGAAAGAGCAGGUAGUAUCUAUUGUAGUAAAAAUGGUAGAAUGUUGCCUUAAGUGGUUUGGGCAUGUGUAAGACUUGUAAAAACACUAAUAAGGAGAGUAGAGAAGAUGCUAGAUAGAGGGUAGUCCUAUCACUGGAGGUAGAGGGAGAUUGUCAAAAACUAUUGGUGAAAGUGAAACCGUAAAGAAGGAUUUAGAGGUUAAUGGUCUAGUUGUCCACAAACAUGAUUUACUAUAGAACAUUAUGGGUCAUUUGAUCCAUAAGCAUACAGCUAAUGCCUGACCCCACCCAAUGGGAAAAGGCUUGGUUUUUGUAAUCAAAUUAGGGAGUGAUAUUAUUCUAGUUUUCUGUUCUUCCAAAAUCUAAAGUAAUUUACACGCUGCUUGAAAAGGAAAUUAGGUUUGAAUAACAAUUGUUGUUUUAGUGACCAAAUCUUUUAAUUAAUAAUUUAAGAUGCGAUGUUUAAGUCUGAGGCUUGAAAUCAUGAUUGAGUUGGCAGUGGAAGAAUCAGAGAUUAACCCGUCCAAAUUUUGGGGUAGCAACGGUGCUGGCCCUUCCUAAUUUAUGAUUAAAUUUCUUAUUUCAAUGGAGACAUAAAAUUUAGAAGAAAAAAGAGAAAAAUACAUUUUGUGCCUGCCCUAACUGAAGCCCUGUAGUGUGGCCCCACAAGGAUUUUCCCCAAAGAUCAGCAGUGGAAAUCUUACCAAUGUUGUGCUUCCACCUAGCAAAUUAAGCUUUUGUGUUGAAUCAGUUCUUGAUAUGGUUAUAGCCUUCUUGUCCAAGUAAUUAGACAUUUGGACGUUUAAUUUAGGUUGCAUUGGUUCUUGACUGUUACCAAUUGAUUCCUAGGAAACCUACAAAAGCAAUAGGUUGUUGUUCUUGAACUUUAGUGCUGUCUUACCUUUCCGCUCUUCUAUAACAUUUUUCUUUUUCCUUCUCCAGAUCAUAUAUUUGAGUGUUGUUCCUUUUCUCUCUUAAAAUUCCGUAUGUUAAGUGUAAGGGAUGCACUAGUGAGAAGAGUAGAUUGUAUGGUUUUUAGCCCGGUGAAGAAGAGAGGGAGGCCAAGAAGGAUAUUGGAGAAACUGAUCAAGAUGGAUCUCAUGGUAAAUAAAAUUUCUAAAUCUCUAGUCUUUAACCAAGCGAAUGACAUUGGCAACAUGUGAUCCCCCAUGUAGACAACCUCACCUAGAUAACAGAUUUUUCUUCAAUCCUUUCUUGAGUUCUUACUUCUUACCCUAACUUGAGUUGGGUCUUAUCGAUGACUUUGCCUAUAAGUUAGUUGUGAGUAAGAAAACUGUUGUUCUCAGUUGAAGCUAGGCUGCCAGUAGCAUGUGAGCUAAGAUAAUUCUAGAAAGGUCUCGUUCCUUUCUAUGUUGUCAAUAGCGGCCGUAGCGGCGGAGUGGAGCAGAGCGGCACCCAUCCGCGACGGACACGUGUGUAGCGGUGCGGUUUCGGGUCGCGGCCGCUAUCGCGGCGGAGCGGUUUUUCGUGCCGCUACUCGAAGCAGUGGAAAUUCCAAAAAUACCCUCACUUAAUGAGGGUAAGUGAGGGUAUUUUUGGUUUUUGGUUUGUCUUCUAAAACCUGUUGUUUCUCGAUUUAUCGGGGCUCCAUUGUUGCGCUGGAAAACAUUGCGAAAACCCUAGCACUGCCGUUGCUGCUCUGCGUUCCGUCCACCGUCCGUUCCGGCGCCGUUGCUGCGUUCCGGCCACCGUCCGUUCCGGCGCCGUUGCUGCUCUGCGUUCCGGCCACCGUACGUUCCUAGUGUUGUCGUUGCUGCUCUGCUCCAUUGUUCUGCACUUUUGCUUACUCCUGCACCUGCGACACCUAUUCUGUUCCGUUCCUCCAUUCUGUUUUGACUUCGGUUCUGCUUCCGUUCCUCCGUUCUGUUCUGACUUCGGUUCUGCACUUCUGCUUACUCCUGCACCAUGGCAUCCUCUGAUCAACAAAAGAAUAUCAAUUUAGAGGGGUCUUCAACUGGAAUGUUCAAGCCUAUGGGUGAUAAGGUAGAUGUCUUUUGGAAAUGGAACAGCUUAAAGGAUAAAAAUAACAGGAAGAGUGUGACGUGAUUUUUGUCACAAAACGUCUACUGGAGGAAUUUCUAGAGCAAGAAGACAUCAACUUCAAAUAAAAGGAGAUGUGGGUUCUUGUAAGAAAGUACUGGAGGAUGUUAAAUUAGAAAUGAUUUUUGUUUAUGAGAAGAAAAUAGCUGAAACUGCAGCAUACAUGGAGGCAACGCAAGAAGAAGAUGACGAAGAGGAAGAUGGGAUCCAAGAGAUUGCAAGACUUAAAAGUGGAAAAAGGCCUCCAGCAACAUCAAAUGAAGCCUCCUCAACUGCUUCCAAGAAGAGGACCACAAAUAAAAAAGGCCCUCUUGAUUUUUUGUUCUCCAAAGAACCUGAAGAAAGUAUCAAAUUUGGAAAAACCAUGAGACAAACAAGUGUAAAUGAAUCUUAUAACAAGGCAUCAAGAGACAGGGCAGUUCAGUACAUUGCUCGUUUCUUUUUUAGGAAUGGAAUAGCAUUCAAUGUUGCUAAAUCAAAAAGUUUCAAGUUGAUGAUUCAGGCAAUUGGAAUCUAUGGUCCUCAUUUAAAGCCUCCAAGCUAUCAUGAAUUGAGAGUUCCACUCCUUAAAAAAGAGUUGGAAUACAUGAAGGGCUUAUUGAGGGGUCAUGAGGAGAAGGGAAUCAAAUAUGGAUGUUCAAUUAUGUAAGAUGGUUGGACAGAUAGGAAGAAUAGAACUUUGAUUAACUUUUUGGUAAAUUGUUCAUUGGGAACGCAGUUUGUGAGGAGUGUGGAUGCUUCUGAAUACAUGAAGACUGGUCAGAAGAUCUUUGAUCUUUUGGAUAGCUUUGUUGAGGAGAUUGGAGAAAAGAAUGUUAUUCAAGUGGUGACGGACAAUCGAAGUAAUUAUGUGUUGGCGGCAGUGUUAUCAAAUGGCGGCAAUGGCGGCACUAUGGCGGUUUUGCAUGGUGAAAGUUUGAAAAAACGCCACCGAAUAGCGGUGGCGUGGCGGGUUUACAAUGGCGGCCGCUAUAGCCAUGGUGGUCAUGGUGGUAUAGCGGAAAUAGCGGGUUUUUUUGUUUUUUUUUUUUGCGCGGUAGGAGUUGGGCUGACCCGACCCAACCUUACUCGUUAUGUUAUUCAAAAGUGCAACGGGGAAACGCAGCACAGAACGCAGCACGCGACCAGGAGCGACAUCCCGCACCCAGCAGCCACCGUGCACUCAGCAGCGACGACCCCGUGGCCCGCACGCACGACCCAGCAGCGACGAGCACCGGCAGAUGACCCCGUGAAGGCGACGCCGCACCGACCCCGCACCUCGCACCCUCACGAAGGUGAAUGUCGCGGCGCAGCUUCAGUGUGGUGCGCUUCUUUAUAUUUAUUUAUUUUUGUUGUUUGACACCCGUUUUUGAUGUCUACAACUUUUUUUUUUCGUUUUUCUAUUUGACACCCUCUUUUUAUUUUUGACCGUCCCAUUUUUAUUUUUUUUUUCUAUUUGACACCAUUUUUUUUUCUGUUCAGUCCUCUUUUAAAUGGCUGAACCAUCCGCCAUGACAUCUGUUAUUUUCCGCUAUGCCAUCUGUCAUAUUUUUAUGGCGGAUUUUUGGCUUUCGGCCAUGAACCACCAUCUGCCAUUAACAACAUUGGUUGGCGGGUAAAAUUUUACAAGUCACGAGACCAAAAAUAUUUUGGACUCCAUGUGCUGCACAUUGUCUUGACUUGAUGCUAGAAGAUAUUGGAAAGAUCCCAAAAGUAAAAAGGGUUAUACAAAGAGGCAUCAAGCUUGUAGGCUACAUUUACAACCAUACAUUCGCUUUGAACACCAUGAGGAAAUUCACACAAAAAACUGAAUUGGUGAGACACGGAGUUACAAGAUUUGCUACCACUUUCUUAACUUUGCAAAGAUUGCAUAAGCCAAAGGCCAAUCUUUGAAGGACUUCGGAUGAAUGGUUGAAGUCUAAGGCAGCUAAAGAGCCCAAGGGGAAGAAAGCAGCUGAUGUUGUUCUUAUGCCAUCAUUUUGGAAUGAUGCUGUCUACACUUUAAAGGCUAUGGGGCCUCUUGUAAGUGUGUUGAGGUUGGUGGAUAAUGAAAAAAAGAAAAACUGCAAUGGGUUUCAUUUAUGAAGCAAUGGAUAGGGCCAAAGAGGCAAUUCAAAGAGCUUUCAAUAACAAUGAAGGGAAGUAUAAGGAUAUCCUUGCAAUCAUUGAUAAAAGAUGGGAUUGUCAACUUCACCACCCUUUGCAUGCAACGGGUUAUUAUCUAAAUCCGAAGUUUUUUUACACCAAUCCAAACAUUGACAAUGAUAAUGAAGUGGUGGAUGACCUCUACAAAUGUAUUGAUAGGCUUAGUGAAGAUGAUGAUUUUGUAGUUGAAGUUCACAAACAAUUGCUACUGGAGAGAGGUUUGGUAUGACUGUAGCAAUGAAAUCAAUGACUGAAAGUUCUAAGUUUGACUUGUAGUUCAUCGGGAUGUGAGCGUAAUUGGAGUACUUUUGAGCAUAUUCACUCAAAGAAGAGAAGUAGGCUUGAGCACCAAAAGCUUCAAGACUUGGUUUAUGUUAAGUAUAACCAAGCUCUUCUAGAUCGCUUUGAGUGUCAUGAUGAUAUUGAUCCUAUUGCUUUAAAUGAUAUUGAUAAUAGCAAUGAGUGGUUAUUGGGAGAAUUGGAAGGAGAAGAAGCUGGUAAUGAUUUGGUUUUUGAUGAUGAUGAUGAUUUGAAUUGGUUAGAUGUUGCUGAGGCAACUGGGACUGGUGAACCUUUACAAAACACAAGGAGUCAAACACAGAUAAACAAGGCAGCAGCUGCACCUGCACCUACAAAUGAAAAAGGAAAAUAAGUGGUGGAAGUGGAAGAAGAGAAUGGAGAUGAGGGGGAAGAAGAGUACAAUUCUAAUGCUAGUGAGAGUGAUGGAUUUCAAGAACAUAAUGACUUGGAUCUUGAAGAGGAUGAAGAUUCUGAUUAGUAAUUUAGUAUUAAGAAACUUGCAUUUGUCUAUUUGAAUUUUAAUGUCUACUUGUCUAUUAUUAUAGUUACUUUAGGCUUUAGCUUAGAAGGAUUAAGGCUUUAAGCCUUUUAUUUGCUUGACUUUCUACUUUAUGUUUUGUAACUUUUGUUUAAGUAAUUAUGUUUUCAGUUAUUUUUUUAUUUUUUGAACUUAUAUAUAUAUAUACAUAUUAUUAAUUAUUUAACAUAUAUAAAAAAACAUUAGAAUAGUAGUCAUCCCGCUAUCCGCUAUCCGCUAUCCCACUAUCCCACUUUUGGGGUCGGCCGCUCCGCUCCGCUACGCCUGUAUUGACAACUAUGGUUCCUUUUGUUUUUAUUGAGUUGAAAGAUCAUGUUUUUGUAUGUGCAAAUAAUGCUUAUAUUUGUUCUUGGUGUUACAUGUGCAAAGAGGCAGAGAUUUCUUGUCUUUCUAGUGAACAGAAAAUAAUAAUAAUAAUGAAAGGUAAAUAGUCAAAUAUGAAAGUUCACAAAUCCAAACUGUAGCUCUACUCCAAAUUUCCCUAUAUAAAAUGCCGAGGAUUGAAUAAUUCAAUUGGGAAGUGACGGAUGUAAUUAUGAAGUUAUAGGUAGCUUUUGAUGCUUUAUUACAUUACAUAGUACAUACAGUUCUCUAUGUAUUUGGGUAAAAAAGACAUGAGCAUAUGAACUCAACUUUUUGUUCUCUCUGUAAUUAAUUCUUGUGAAGAGGAAACUUUUGUGACUUUUUGUUUCUCUGUGGGUUUCUCUUUUAGUAUUAUUUUCUAUGUUCUGUUCCAAUUCUACUAUGUCUUUGUAUCAUUACCGUUUCAAAGUAUAUUUUUUUUCCUCUGC